UACGGAGGGGCAAGCGUUGUUCGGAUUUACUGGGCGUAAAGGGCGCGUAGGCGGAUGUUCGCGUCAGAGGUGAAAGCCCCGGGCUCAACCUGGGAACUGCCUUUGAAACGGGACAUCUUGAGUUCGGAAGAGGGUAGCGGAAUUCCCAGUGUAGAGGUGAAAUUCGUAGAUAUUGGGAAGAACACCAGUAGCGAAGGCGGCUACCUGGUCCGACACUGACGCUGAGGCGCGAAAGCGUGGGGAGCAAACAGGAUUAGAUACCCUGGUAGUCCCUGAGCGGGCU
rnacentral:rRNA from 1 species